rnacentral:rRNA from 1 species
CAGCCGUAAACUAUGCGCGUUAGGUGUACUGGUGACCACGAGUCACCGGGUGCCGAAGGGAAACCGUGAAACGUGCCGCCUGGGAAGUACGGUCGCAAGGCUGAAACUUAAAGGAAUUGGCGGGGAGCACCACAACGGGUGGAGCCUGCGGUUUAAUUGGACUCAACGCCGGAAAUCUCACCGGAUAGGACAGACAUAUGAUAGUCGGGCUGAAGACUCUACUUGAUGAUCUGAGAGGUGGUGCAUGGCGUCAGUGACU